GAUGAACGCUGGCGGCGUGCCUAAUACAUGCAAGUCGAGCGAACGGACGAGAAGCUUGCUUUUCUGAUGUUAGCGGCGGACGGGUGAGUAACACGUGGAUAACCUACCUAUAAGACUGGGAUAACUUCGGGAAACCGGAGCUAAUACCGGAUAAUAUUUUGAACCGCAUGGUUCAAAAGUGAAAGACGGUCUUGCUGUCACUUAUAGAUGGAUCCGCGCUGCAUUGGCUAGUUGGUAAGGUAACGGCUUACCAAGGCAACGAUGCAUAGCCGACCUGAGAGGGUGAUCGGCCACACUGGAACUGAGACACGGUCCAGACUCCUACGGGAGGCAGCAGUAGGGAAUCUUCCGCAAUGGGCGAAAGCCUGACGGAGCAACGCCGCGUGAGUGAUGAAGGUCUUCGGAUCGUAAAACUCUGAUAUUAGGGAAGAACAUAUGUGUAAGUAACUGUGCACAUCUUGACGGUACCUAAUCAGAAAGCCACGGCUAACUACGUG
rnacentral:rRNA from 1 species